rnacentral:rRNA from 1 species
UACGAAGGGGGCUAGCGUUGCUCGGAAUUACUGGGCGUAAAGGGCGCGUAGGCGGGUCGUUAAGUUGGGGGUGAAAGCCCAGGGCUCAACCCUGGAAUUGCCUUCAAUACUGGCGGCCUUGAGUAUGGCAGAGGUGUGUGGAACUCCGAGUGUAGAGGUGAAAUUCGUAGAUAUUCGGCGGAACACCAGUGGCGAAGGCGACUCACUGGCCCGAUACUGACGCUGAGGCGCGAAAGCGUGGGGAGCAAACAGG